rnacentral:rRNA from 1 species
AGUUCGAUCCUGGCUCAGAUUGAACGCUGGCGGAUGCUUUACACAUGCAAGUCGAACGGCAGCACGGACUUCCCGGUUCAGUAUGAUAAGAACGGUGAGUAAUGUAUCGGAACGUGCCUAGUAGCGGGGAUAACUACGCGAAAGCGUAGCUAAUACCGCAUACGCUCGGGGGAAAGCGGGGACCCUCUGGGCCCUCGCCGCACUAUUAGAGCGGCCGAUAUCGGAUUAGCUUAGUUGGUGGGGUAACGGCUCACCAAGGCGACGAUCCGUAGCUGGUUUGAGGAGGGAUGACCAGCCACACUGGGACUGAGACACGGCCCAGACUCCUACGGGAGGCAGCAGUGGGGAAUUUUGGAUAAUGGGGGAAACCCUGAUCCAGCCAUCCCGCGUGUGCGAUGAAGGCCUUCGGGUUGUAAAGCACUUUUGGCAGGAAGAAACGGCACGCGGGAUAAUACCCCGUGCAACUGACGGUACUCUGCAGAAUAAGCACCGGCUAACUACGUGCCAGCAGCCGCGGUAAUACGUAGGUGCAAGCGUUAAUCGGAAUUACUGGGCGUAAAGCGUGCGCAGGCGGUUCGGAAAGAAAGAUGUGAAAUCCCAGAGCUUAACUUUAAACUGCAUUUUUAGCUACCGAGCUAGAGUGUGUCAGAGGGGAGGUGGAAUUCCGCGUGUAGCAGUGAAAUGCGUAGAUAUGCGGAGGAACACCGAUGGCGAAGGCAGCCUCCUGGGAUAACACUGACGCUCAUGCACGAAAGCGUGGGGAGCAAACAGGAUUAGAUACCCUGGGUAGUCCACGCCUCGUAAACGAUGUCAAUUAGCUGUUGGGGCCUUCGGGCCUUGGUAGCGCAGUUCUGUGCGAAGUUGACCGCCUGGGGAGUACGGUCGCAAGAUUAAAACUCAAAGGAAUUGACGGGGACCCGCACAAGCGGUGGAUGAUGUGGAUUAAUUCGAUGCAACGCGAAAAACCUUACCUACCCUUGACAUGUCUGAAUCCUGAAGAGAUUUGGGAGUGCUCGCAAGAGAACCGAACACAGGUGCCGCAUGGCUGUCGUCAGCUCGUGUCGUGAGAUGCUGGGUUAAGUCCCGCAACGAGCGCAACCCUUGUCAUUAUUACGAAAGGGCACUCUAAUGAGACUGCCGGUGACAAACCGGAGAAGGUGGGACACGUCAAGUCCUCAUGGCCUCAGGGUAGGGAAGCCACACGUCAUACAAUGGUCGGGACAGAGGGUCGCCAACCCGCGAGGGGGAGCCAAUCCCAGAAACCCGAUCGUAGUCCGGAUCGCAGUCUGCAACCUGGACUGCGUGAAGUCGGAAUCGCUAGUAAUCGCGGAUCAGCAUGUCGCGGUGAAUACGUUCCCGGCCCUGUAAAGCCACACCGCCCGUCACACCAUGGGAGUGGGUUUUACCAGGAAGUGAGCUAGCCUUGUAACUGUAAGGAGGGCGAUUACCACGGUAGGAUUCAUGACUGGGGUGAAGUCGUAACAAGGUAG